rnacentral:rRNA from 1 species
CCAGACUCCUACGGGAGGCAGCAGUAGGGAAUCUUCGGCAAUGGACGAAAGUCUGACCGAGCAACGCCGCGUGAGUGAAGAAGGUUUUCGGAUCGUAAGACUCUGUUGGUAGAGAAGAACGUUGGUGAGAGUGGAAAGCUCAUCAAGUGACGGUAACUACCCAGAAAGGGACGGCUAACUACGUGCCAGCAGCCGCGGUAAUACGUAGGUCCCGAGCGUUGUCCGGAUUUAUUGGACGUAAAGCGAGCGCAGGUGGUUUAUUAAGUCUGGUGUAAAAGGCAGUGGCUCAACCAUUGUAUGCAUUGGAAACUGGUAGACUUGAGUGCAGGAGAGGAGAGUGGAAUUCCAUGUGUAGCGGUGAAGUGCGUAGAUAUAUGGAGGAACACCGGUGGCGAAAGCGGCUCUCUGGCCUGUAACUGACACUGAGGCUCGAAAGCGUGGGGAGCAAACAGGAUUAGAUACCCUGGUAGUCCACGCCGUAAACGAUGAGUGCUAGAUGUAGGGAACUAUAAGUUCUCUGUAUCGCAGCUAACGCAAUAAGCACUCCGCCUGGGGAGUACGACCGCAAGGUUGAAACUCAAAGGAAUUGACGGGGGCCCGCACAAG